ACAUGCUUUGGGUGAAUAUAUGUGCAUUCUCAAGGAACGACCAAAUGAUCCAUUUGCAACAUUUUGUGUUGGUUAUACUUUUAUACAUAUGGCUUGCCAAAAAUUUGCCACUAAGCGCCAUUUUCUUGCUCUUCAGGGAUUUGUUUUCCUGUCUCAUUAUUUGAAAUUAAAAGGUGAAUGUCAAGAGGCAUAUUAUAAUAUUGGAAGAGCUCUACAUCAGUUAGGUA